UAUCUCUGGUUUCCCUUCAAAACGCAUAAAUCUUUCGCCUUUUACUAAAGAUUUCCGUGGAGUGGAGGGGAACACUCAAAUGAGUCUUGAGUAUUUUUGAUGGCUCUGCUUCGGCAGGGCC